rnacentral:pre_miRNA from 1 species
GUAAUACUCCCUCCGAUCCAUAUUAUAGUUGUCGAAAUAUUACAUGUAUCUAGACACUUUUUAGGCAUAGAUACAUCCAUAUUUGAGCAAAUUUGAGACAAUUAAUAUGGAUCGGAGGGAGUAUUAU